rnacentral:lncRNA from 1 species
CUAUGUUGUUCAAUUAACAAUCCAUUCUUUUUAAAUUAGUGAAUAGCAUUCCAUUGUAUUGAUAUACCAUGCAAUUUGCUUUUCCAUUCACUUGUUUCUGGAAAUUUGAAUUAUUUCCAGUUUGGGGGCAAUUAUAAAUAAAGCACAUAUACAUGUCUGUAUGUCUUUGUGUGGACAUAAUCUUUCAUGACUUUUGAAUUAAUACCUAGAAGUGGAAUGGCUGGGUCAUAUAGCAGGUAUAUGUUUACCUUUUUGUGAGGCUGCCAGAAUUUGCUGCUGUUGUUGUUGUUUUGUGGUGCUGGAGAUUGAACCCAGGGCUUCACACAUGUGAAGUAAGUACUCUACCAUUGAGCUACAUCCCCAGCUCAUUUCUUUCUUUUUGAAAUGGGGUCCUCUCCAUGUUACCCAAGCUGGUCUCAAACUCUUGGGCUCAGAUGAUAUUCCCACUUAAGCCUCCAGAGUAACUGGCAUUACAGGUGUGUGUCAUCAUAUCUGGCUGAAGCUGCCAAACUGUUCAAAAUGGUUGUACUUCAUCCCCAACAAGAGUGAAAGAAAGUUUCUGUUCUGUACUGCUAUGGGUCUUCAUUGUUCAUCAUGUGGCUGUGUAUAUGUGGAUCUCCUUCUGUGCUUUUUUAUUACUUCCCCAAGACAGGGUCUUUCUAUGUUGCCCUGGCUGGUCUUGAAUUCCUGGC